CUCAACCUCUUCUCGCACGGCAAACAUGAGGUGGGACUUCACCAAGUCCUGGGCCCCAGGGACAAACCAACCGUCAGGCCCUCCCAGGCCACCUCCAGGUGCCAUCUCCUACCCAGACUUCCGGAACCACUGGAGAAGACACAGAGAGGUACAAGUUGAGGAGGAGGAGGAGCCCCAAGUCAGCUCUGCUACUGCCUUCUAGGUGCGCCUUGCUCUGAAUGCCCGGCCUACACCCCACCCCGUGCCCAAGGGGGAUCUGUACUAAGUCCAAGGUGACCCUUGCACGAGGCCCGGCUGCCAGAAAGGGAGCUGGGAAUUUUCCAUUUCCUGGCCAAGCUCUGAGUGCAGGAGGUGCUGACAGGUAGGACAACCAGGGCUGACCGGGCUAGAAGAGCAGAGCAUUAGUGACUAAGGACACCUGGAGGCCCCAAAGGCACAGAGGACAUGUGUAAGAACGGAGGUGGAGGGGCAAGAGGGCGAGAGGGUUCAUGGGUAAAGGCUCCUGCCACUAACCCUGACAACCUGAGUUCCAUUCCCAGAACCUACAUGGUGGAAAGCAAGAACAGACUUCCCCAAGCUGUCCUCUUGAUCUCCACAAGCCUGCCAUACUGCACCUGGACACACACCAGUGUGCAAGCACACAUACUCACAAGUGCGCACACACACACACACACACACAAACAGAGGACCAGCUAGCCAGUGUCAAAUCUGUUUUCAAGCCACAGGGAUACAGAAGUAAAAACCCAACACCCUUCCUCCAACACAGAGACACCAAAGAUGGACAGACGGACCAGAAUAGACGUGUCAGCCCUGCUUGGCGGACACUCAGGCCGAGAUGCCAAGUUAAAUCUUCUACCCUCGCCAGAAAUAAAGGAAUAAUACAAGCACCAGCAUUUGUUGGCUGACUGAUGGCUGUCUUUUGUGUGUCCAGCUCAGGAGUUUGUGAAAGCACUUCCCCUACGCCAUUCUAGCCCUAACGGCAAGCCAAGCCAGGCCUUGAUCCGCUGAGUGAGGGGCUGGUACACUGGACUUCUUGGGCAAGGCUGGGAACAGGUAUGGUAAGUGUCACAAGUCCCCACACAACUCUGUGUGGACGAGAACGAAACAGCCCCUUUCCCACGACACUGACCACCAUCGUUCCCCCAACUGUCACCAUUUCCAACAUAGGCCAGGGAUGACGCCAUGUGGAAAUGGCGCCCCCUGGGGGUUGCUCAGUGCACUACCUAACUGAAGAAGACAGCAACCUUGCAGGAAGGACCCUUGGGACGAGGGCAUCUCUCGAGGCUGGACUCUGCCUCGGAAGGUCAAGUACGACAGCUUGAAUAUGAGGAUCAGAGGAUGACGAGUCUGUCAAGAGUUGGGGACGUCCAGAUCCUGGGGAUACUGGCCGGCUUGGCUCCCCACAUAUGUUCUGGGAGCAUUCAGAGGCUGGGCCCGAGGCCAAGAAAGUGGUAUCCAGCAAUCCUGUCUACACUCUCUCCCAGACCUGAUUCUGUGGUGCCUUUGGGGGUGGGCAGGGCAGGUGUGGGCCAGGGAGGGGGAGGGGCUGGCUUCCUGCCCCGGUUUUUGAGCUGCCCCUGCCUGUCUUAGCAAAAGGACAUGGUAAGGACCACUGUCACCUCCUGCUCUCUUGGGACACACGCAUUCCAACAGGAGAGCGUGUGGCUUUAGGGUGAGACCCAGGUUCACUGCCUGAGUGACCUUGGACAGCUUUCUUUUCUCUUGAGUCUCGUUGUUUCCAUCGGGAAAGUGAGGAAUCAUGGGAUUGCUUUUACAAUUCAUGAGGAUCACAGAUCUUCCAACCGGAAACAGUCUGAAUUCACCAGCACCCUAUUAACCCGUCCCAGAUCCAAGCACCGGGAAGGCACCCCCAGCUCAACAUGGUACCCCAGCACUUAACACCACAACCCACUUUUUUCCCUCUCAAAAGGAAAAACUUCGCGCCACUGGGAACCUUGGUCUCCUUCUAGCUCUAGGAGGCACAUCCGACAGGUGACCACUGAUGGCCAGCAUGGACCGAGCCAGGCUGAGACUCUGGGCUGCUGCGGCUCCAAAGGGGUCUGGAGACUUGUGGACCAGGCUGGCAUCGAAGUAGAGGGCUGCCCAGGAUCACCUUGAACGACUUGCUUCUUGGUCUCUUCCCGUCUCCAUCUCCCAAAGGCUGGAGCUUUAAGCAGAAACCACUCUGGGCAUGCUUAGGCAAAGGCUGCACUGAGCUACAACAUCCUCGGAGUUCCUCCCUCCCCAACCUUCUUUUCUGUGACAAGAUCUCACUUUGUAGCCCGAGCUGACCCAGAACUUGCUAUGUGGGCCAGGCUGGCCUUGAACUUGUCAUCCUCCUUCCUGCCUCUGCCUCCCCCAGUCGUGUGCCUUCUUAAAGGCACUCAAACGUCGGCUCCUUACAGAGACACUUCCUCGAUAUUUACCAGUCCAUGGAACAGCUUCUUUCUUUCUUUCUUUCUUUUUUUUUUAAUAGCAUCUAGGACGAUUUGAAAAUUAAAGUACUUAUUGUGUCUCCCCUGCUGGAA